AAAUAACAAUACGGGGCUCAACGCCUUGUAAUUGGAAUGAUGGGAACCUAAACCCCUUCCAGAGUAUCAAUUGGAGGGCAAGUCUGGUGCCAGCAGCCGCGGUAAUUCCAGCUCCAAUAGCGUAUAUUAAAAUUGUUGCAGUUAAAAAGCUCGUAGUUGAAUUUCUGCCGCCCCGCCGCGGCCCCCGGGCCCGACGUCGCGGCUUAUUUCGGCGACCUCGCGCCGCCGAAUGUUUACUUUGAGAAAAUUAGAGUGCUCAAAGCAGGCCCUUGCCUUGAAUACUUUAGCAUGGAAUAAUAAAGUAGGACUUUGGUUCUAUUUUGUUGGUUUAGCGCCAAAGUAAUGGUUAAUAGGAACAGUUGGGGGCAUUCGUAUUUA
rnacentral:rRNA from 1 species